CCUACGGGUGGCAGCAGUGAGGAAUAUUGGUCAAUGGGCGCUAGCCUGAACCAGCCAAGUAGCGUGAAGGAUGACUGCCCUAUGGGUUGUAAACUUCUUUUAUAUAGGAAUAAAGUGAGGCAUGUGUGCUUUUUUGCAUGUACUUUAUGAAUAAGGAUCGGCUAACUCCGUGCCAGCAGCCGCGGUAAUACGGAGGAUCCGAGCGUUAUCCGGAUUUAUUGGGUUUAAAGGGAGCGUAGAUGGGUUGUUAAGUCAGUUGUGAAAGUUUGCGGCUCAACCGUAAAAUUGCAGUUGAUACUGGCAGCCUUGAGUACAGUAGAGGUAGGCGGAAUUCGUGGUGUAGCGGUGAAAUGCUUAGAUAUCACGAAGAACUCCGAUUGCGAAGGCAGCUUACUAGACUGUAACUGACAUUGAUGCUCGAAAGUGUGGGUAUCAAACAGGAUUAGAUACCCUUGUAGUC
rnacentral:rRNA from 1 species